rnacentral:rRNA from 1 species
AACGAACGCUGGCGGCGUGCCUAACACAUGCAGGUCGAACGAGAAAGGGGCUUCGGCUCCGAGUAAAGUGGCGCACGGGUGAGUAACACGUGGGUAACCUGCCUCUAAGAUUGGGAUAACUCGUCGAAAGAUGAGCUAAUACCGGAUAAGACCACAGUUCCCGCGGGAACAGGGGUAAAAGGUAGCCUCUGCUUGCACGCUAUCACUUAGAGAUGGGCCUGCGCACCAUUAGCUAGUUGGUAGGGUAACGGCCUACCAAGGCAAAGAUGGUUAGGUGGGAUGAGAGGAUUAUCAGCCACACUUGAAGUGAGAAACAGUCCAGACUCUUACGGGAGGGAGCAGUGGGGAAUAUUGCGCAAUGGGCGAAAGCUUGACGCAGCAACGCCGCGUGAGUGAUGAAGGCCUUCGGGUCGUAAAGCUCUGUCGGGAGGACCGAAUGCUCCCAAGGUUAACAGCCUCGGGAGGUGACGGUACCUUCAAAGGAAGCACCGGCUAACUCUGUGCCAGCAGCCGCCGUAAAAC